ensembl:lncRNA
GUGCAAUCAAAAGACGGUUUUGCGGGUGCGGAUUUGCCGCAUAUUGUGCCCUCUACACAUGUUGAAACUCUUCAAACAUACACGGUAAACGCAGACCACCUCAUGAAUAUUCAAGCCUUCGGUGUAAACCUGAAAAAACGAGGGGGGAAGUAGGCCUUUGGAAACCCGGAUGGCUUCAGUACUGGGGGAAGCUAGCGUGUCUGAGAAAGGGCACGGCAAGCGGUUGUCUAGAUCUAUGCAGUGUUGGAGGUAGUAGCCUAGCGGGUAUGAACCAGAAGACCCAGGUUCAAAUCCCACUUACUACCAUUGUGUCCCUGAGCGGGACACUUAACACAAAUGAGUCUUGAGUUGAAUGUUUUAAUGGGCAAAAAAUACUUAAAUUUAACUCUCCAUUUAUUUAUGUUAUUUAUUUAUUUAUUUAAUUUUUACUGAUCCAAUCUGAACCGUGAGGUUUUUUUUUUUUUUUUUUUAUAUCCAUUGCACCAGUAGCCAAAAGACACUCGAAGGACUCUGAGACCAUGAGAAACAAAAUUUGGAAAGUUUGGAACAUGAUGCCUGGACAAUACCACAAUACAGUGAAGCGUGGUGGCGGCAGCAUCAUGCUUUGGGGAUGUUUUUCAGCUGGAGGAACUGGGAGUCUAGUCAGGAGGAAGGAAAGAUGACUGCAGCAAUGUACAGAGACCUCCUGGAUGACUGUUCCUCUUUCAGCAGGACAAUGACCCUAAAUACACAGCCAAGAUAUCAAAGGUGUGGCGUCAGGACAACUCUGAAUGUGACGAGUUUAUACAGAAUUCAGACAAGAAGAAGGUUACAAGUUCAUCUAAAUCUUCUCUAAAGAGGAAGGUCUUGAGCUGCCGUGUGAAGGUGCUCAGUGACUGAGCUGGAAGUUCAUUCCACCACCGAGGGGCCAAGAUGGAGAAGAGUCUAGAUGAGCGUCUUCCUUUUACCUUCAGAGAUGGAGGGACCAGGCGAGCAGUACUGGAGGCUUGGAGUAUACCAGAUGCAGUGCGAGGUGUAAUAAGGGCUG